CGGGGUAUAGCUCGGUGGUAGAGUGCAUGCUUAUCACGCAUGAGGUCCUGGGUUCAAUCCCCAGUAACUCCA
rnacentral:tRNA from 1 species